AGGGGUGUAGCUCAAUUGGCAGAGCACUGGUUUCCAAAACCAGCGGCUGGGGGUUCGACUCCCUCCGCCCCUGCCA
rnacentral:tRNA from 1 species